AGGGCAAGUCUGGUGCCAGCAGCCGCGGUAAUUCCAGCUCCAAUAGCGUAUAUUAAAGUUGUUGCAGUUAAAAAGCUCGUAGCUGAAUUUCGGGGUUAGUAGGUUGGUCAUGCCUCAGGUAUGUACUGAUCUCACUGAUUCCUCCUUCCUGAUGAACCGUAAUGCCAUUAAUUUGGUGUUGCGGGGAAACUGGACUGUUACUUCGAAAAAAUUAGAGUGUUUAAAGCAGGCUAACGCUUGAAUACAUUAGCAUGGAAUAAUGAAAUAGGACGUUCGAUCCUAUUUUGUUGGUUUCUAGGAUUGACGUAAUGAUUAAUAGGGAUAGUUGGGGGCAUUAGUAUUCAAUUGUCAGAGGUGAAAUUCUUGGAUUUAUUGAAGACUAACUACUGCGAAAGCAUUUGCCAAGGAUGUUUUCAUUAAUCAAGAACGAAAGUUAGGGGAUCGAAGACGAUCAGAUACCGUCGUAGUCUUAACCAUAAACUAUGCCGACUAGGGAUCGGAUGAUGUUAAUUUUUUAAUGACUCAUUCGGCGCCUUACGGGAA
rnacentral:rRNA from 1 species